CGGCAGAAGAGCUGGAACAACCCGCUAGGCGUC
rnacentral:sRNA from 1 species